GACGAACGCUGGCGGCGUGCUUAACACAUGCAAGUCGAACGGAAAGGCCCCUUUGGGGGUACUCGAGUGGCGAACGGGUGAGUAACACGUGAGUAACCUGCCCUUGACUUCGGGAUAACUUCAGGAAACUGGGGCUAAUACCGGAUAGGAAUCCUUGCUGCAUGGUGGGGGUUGGAAAGCUUCGGCGGUUUUGGAUGGACUCGCGGCUUAUCAGCUUGUUGGUGGGGUAGUGGCUUACCAAGGCUUUGACGGGUAGCCGGCCUGAGAGGGCGACCGGCCACAUUGGGACUGGGAGACGGCCCAGACUCCUACGGGAGGCAGCAGUGGGGAAUAUUGCACAAUGGGCGGAAGCCUGAUGCAGCAACGCCGCGUGCGGGAUGACGGCCUGCGGGUUGGAAACCGCUUUCAGCAGGGGCGAAGCUUGUGGUGACGGUACCUGCAGAAGAAGCACCGGCUAACUACGUG
rnacentral:rRNA from 1 species